AAUAGAAACAGGGUUGGAUCGUGAUCCAGAAAUAGAUAGGGGGCAUCACUCCUAUAAAAGGCACACCAUUCAAGAGUACAGUGUGUGCACAGUAGGAAGAACCGAAAAGCGCGAGCACAUUUUAAAGCAGAGAACAGUUUAAUUUGGUCUUUUAUUUUCCUACAUGGUGACACUCCUCAAGCUUGCGUGGUUCACACAGUUGUGGAGAUGACGACUCAUGCAGAUCAAAUCACGGAAGCACAAAAUGGGAAUGCUCCAAAAACAAACGUUUCUGUGAAGUAGCGGAAAUAGGGAAAGGAGUGACGCACAAACAUUCGGAAGUUCCCCUGCUGGAAUAGAAACACAGUAUGGUAAGUACUACAGUUGAGAUGAGAAAUACCAUAAAUAGUUGGUCGGAAGAAACAUUAUAUUUUAUUUGUACUUAUACUGUAUCAUUACAUUUACAUUUUGUUAUUAAGUUUUACUAAGUAUAUGUUUUGUGUGUGCAGUGUGCAUUUGUAAUUUAUGUUGCAAGUUUGAAUUCUUGUUUUGAUACUUUUUUUGUCAUGGCCAUGUUGCUGGUGUGUAAAAUAAUAAUUAUUCAUAAUCCUACAUAUGGCACCCUUGCUCGGCAGGCAUGCGUAAAACGGUAGCUAACACAUUUCAUAGGAGGAAAAACAA